ACUGCUGUCCACAGCUACUUCCGGUAGGAGCCUCGCAGGAAUGGUCUCCGGGUAGAGGCAGGUAAGGAUGUCCCGGGCCGGUGGAGAAGGAAGAGCUGGGCGUGUGGCUUCGCUUGGAAUCCGAAUCAGAGCUUGGACCAGAGCCUUCCCUGAGAAUGCUGAAGCAACACCUUCUUUGGAUUGAGUUUCUUCCAGAGGGAACGAAGAAGAGGAUUAAAUAAUACAUUCAAUUCUAAAAUAAGACAUGGCCCAUGAGUUGGUGAUGUUCAGAGAUGUGGCUAUAGAUGUCUCUCAGGAGGAAUGGGAAUGCCUGAACCCAGCGCAGAGGAAUUUGUACAAGGAGGUGAUGUUGGAGAAUUAUAGCAACUUGGUGUCACUUGGACUUUCUGUUUCUAAGCCAGCCGUAAUCUCCUCAUUGGAGCAAGGGAAGGAGCCCUGGAUGGUUGUGAGGGAAGAGACAGGAAGAUGGUGCCCAGGGUCUCACUCUGUUACCCAUGCUGGAGUGCAGUGGAGUGAUCACAGCUCACUGCAGCCUGGACCUCUCA
rnacentral:lncRNA from 10 species